rnacentral:rRNA from 1 species
UGCCGGAGUGCUUGCACUUUGGCAGACUGAGUGGCGGACGGGUGAGUAACGCGUGGGUAACCUGCCUUAUACAGGGGGAUAACAGUUGGAAACGAUUGCUAAUACCGCAUAAGCGCACAGCUUCGCAUGAAGCGGUGUGAAAAACUCCGGUGGUACAAGAUGGACCCGCGUCUGAUUAGCUGGUUGGUGAGGUAACGGCCCACCAAGGCGACGAUCAGUAGCCGACCUGAGAGGGUGACCGGCCACAUUGGGACUGAGACACGGCCCAAACUCC